ensembl:lncRNA
CGAAUUGAUUGUGAGACUGUGUUGUCAUAUAUAAGUAGCCUGUCCUACAGUAUUGGGACAAAUAUACCUCGUCCAAAGUCUUGACUAGUUUAUUGACUCACUAAAGUGGUUUGUUUUCGAACUUUACUAUGUGGGAGCGAAUCUACUUUUACGCAUCAUUUAUUUGAUGCGUUUUCGUAAUUGUUAGUCUGGUCCAUUAAUUAUGUCAGUACACUGAAGCUGAUUUAUUAGAAAUUGCUUCACUAAUUCAGUCAUUCAUUGAUGGUUUGAUUGUCUGAUUGAUUAAUACACUUCGUUGACAUAUUAAACUACAGGGGCAGCCAUGACAGGAAGGUUGAUGCUUGGCAUUGUUGCGUCACAAUACAAAAUGCCUCUGAUGACGUAAUGAUCAAACACCAAGCUGCCACUGGUGAAAUGACGGAUCAUUAGCUGAUUGAACUACAAGGUGAACGAAUUUAAUGGUGCCGAAAGCCACUUCCUAUUCCAAGUACUCAAGACUAGAAGGAGCAUUCUGAUUAGAAUACUGCAGACCAGUGAAUGAUGAAUAGGAGGCCCAACCUGAAUGGGUCUGGAGGACCAAGGUCCAUCGGUGUUCCGCUGCUCUGUCCUUCUAACAGAGUGCUGCUGGAGAGAGAAGAGGUCAGCCAGGCCCCAGUGAUGGCCUCCUCUUUCAGGCCCUCAGCGUUCCCCUCCCUGCAUGUUGUACCCCGUGCUCCCCCUCCUGAUGACGUCAGGUCCAAGAGGCCCACAGCUGCCCACAGAAAGAGGAGAGACCUCCAGUCCCUGGUUCCUGUCCAGGAUGGAUGUCGUGAGUCUCCCGGUUGGUUUAACAGCAGCAGCUCCCAGCUACCUGCCAAAACCAACAGACGCAGGCGCAACAAGGAGCUUUCCUUCACUGAGGUUCUGAAGAACUACAAGCUUCUGCCUGAUUCCCGGCCCAGCAGCCCAGAGAGCCUGUACCAGCCUGAGACAAUGAUACCUAGAAUCUCUGUCAGCAUCACUAGACCUGAGGGGAGGCCUAGCAACCCUCGAUGCCCCACUAGACGGCCUGUUAGCCCAAUUGGCCUGGUCCAACCUGAUGUACAGCCUUCCAGACCUGAGGGGAGGCCUAGCAACCCUCAACGCCCCACUAGACGGCCUGUUAGACCAGUGGGCCUAGUCCAGCCUGAUGUACAGCCUUCCAGACCUGAGGGAAGGCCUAGCAACCCUCGGAACACCAGUAGGAGAAAAGUUAAGCCCAGUAAUCCUGUGUGUCCCGUUAUACUCGAGUCCCAACCUACCAGUCCUGUGAGCAUCACCACCAGCACUGUGGAUGUAGUCCAGCCUGAGCCCCGUCCUACCUGCCCUCUGUCCCUGGAGGAGCCGGCCCUUUCAGAGUCAUGCAGCUUCAGCAACAAUGUGUUUGUUCUCUCCAUGCCGAAAGCUGCCCAGCCAGAGGAGGCUGCCAGAGGGAGCAGCAGCCCACCCAGGGACAUCAUCAGGCCUGAGGCCUUCGUCCAGACAGGACCCCUGCUGGCCAGGAGAGCCCAGAGGGAUGCUCCUCCUCCAAAGGUCCCCAAACCCCCGGUGGCCCCCCGUCCCAAACUGCUGCCCUCCCUGGGCCAGGGCAACGUGUCCCUUGUCAGUGCCAACACCUGGGAUGAAAGGACCAAGAAGAAGAGAAAGAAAGGAGUCAGAGUUCAGAGGUCUAGCCUGGGUCUGAGGCAUAUCCCC